GCCAGAUUUGUGAAAUGUUAGCAUAUAGUCAUCACUGCCAGGUACAGACAGAUUUGUUGAACCCCUAAGCUGAUUUGAUGCCAACAUCACAGUGGAGUCUUUUGAAAAAUUUGGCUUUAAAGUCCAGGAUUAGAUGAUACGCUGCAGCCACCCCUCCGCCAUCACCCCUGCCCAUUAAACUACUCUUUUAAGCCUAGAAAUAGUUCCUAUAAUUGAACAACUUGAACUAAAUGGUAUACGAAAGUAGUAAAGGACUUGAGGGCUCAAAGUGACACUGCUAUAAACCAGCAUCUCCCAGUUGUAUAUGUUUGCUUGAAAUUUGUUUUAUACAGGAUAGAGAAACUCUGGUAUAAGAUGCCUGUGCUAGUUCAUUAGUAGCAGAAGGAUGGUAUUCAGGGAGCUGCCUUUAUAUUUGUAGUGUUGGAGACCUGUUACUGUUUAAUUGGUGGUUAUCAGCUGAAAAGUUCUGUUCCUGAGAUGUGCAAUAGUAGUGUUUGUACUGUUCAAUAGUGAUGGGGAACAGACAUACUGGAUUUUUUCUCCCACAUUGAAUCAUGUAGUUUGCAUGCUUUUUUGAAAUCAGACUGCUCAGCAGCGCUUUGGACUAGUUUUAUUAGGUUAAUUCACAUUUUAUACAUUAGAUAAGUAAAUAUUGAUGGCUUGAUUUAGUCUUUAAAAUUUUGAAAGCACAAAAAGUAUUUUAUUUUGAAUCAAAGGAGAAAAGCCAUUGGUUUGUUUUCACAGAUAGUAUCUUUGAUAACGAACUGUUUCAGUAAAAGGGUGCCUGGGAACCAACAGCACUAUUAAAACUCAGUCAAAGCAACUUCCUAGGAACCAGUUUUAGUGAGUCCUCUGCCUGUAAACCUCUCCUGGAAGUCUCUGAGAGGUGUGGGCCUUACGAGGUUGAUGAUGAUC
rnacentral:lncRNA from 1 species